UUCUCACCGCAACCGCGCGAAACAGGCAUUUUAACAGGUUUUUGUGUCGUAAUCUCUUUUUUGCAGGGAGAUUGAAACAAACCGGCCUGACAAGGCGAGUCUAGGCAUGGGA
rfam:Desulfitobacterium hafniense Y51 DNA, complete genome.